AGCUCUGCCCACGGAGACUUUCCCAGUUGGAGAGCUCCCACCGCGGGGCCGGGGCGCGGGCGCGGCGCGGCGGGGGCGGCUGACCGCAGAGGCCGAGGCCCCCAGCCCGGUCCCCGCACCCCCCCCCGCCCUCCAGGUCCCCCCAGCCCGGCUCCCCGCAGCCCGGUCCCCGGUCCCCGCACCCGGUGCCCCCAGCCCUGCACCCGGUCCCCGGUCCCCGCAGCCCGUCCCCGCAGCCCGGCUCCAGGCAUCCCGGUCCCGCACCCCGUCCCCGCACCGCGUCCCCGCAGCCCAGCCCAGUCCCCCCAGUCCGCCCAGUCCCCGCACCCCGGCUCCCCGGUCCCCGCACCCGGCCCCCGCAGCCCGGCUCCAGGCGCCCCAGUCUCCCCGGUCGCGCCCCCGCCCCCCGCCCCCCGCGGGGUCCUGCUCACCGCGCGGCCAGGACGGGACCCGCAGCUCCGCCAGGGACGUGGGCUCCGGCUCCUACCGAGGCGGCCCCGGGCGAGGAGCGGCGUGAAGUUGCAGCCCCCGCCCCCCGCGCCCCUGCCCCCCGCCCCGCGCACUGAGCGGCCCGACCCCGCGUCUCCAGCAGCCCCGGCGGCGCGACGCUCGCUCAACGCGGUCCGGCCGCUCGCACGGGGUCCCCCGCAGCCGCUCCGCGCCCCGGGCAGGGCCGCCGACCCCGCGCUCCGAGGCUUCCCGGGGGGGGGUGGGCGGCCGCGGUCCCUGCGGGCGGGGGGUCCCGGCGCGUCUCGGCUCGGCGGCGGCCUGCGGAGCCCCGACCUGUUACGCGCGGCCGGAGCCGGAGCCGGAGCCGGAGCCGGAGCCGGAGCCCGAGCCCGAGCCCGAGCCCGAGCCCGAGCCAGAGCCCGGCGGGGGCGGUGCACGGCGGCGGGGAGCGCACCCCGAGGGCCCGGCGCCGCCACGCGGGGGUCCCCGGCUGCGACCUCGGCGGGCGCGGGGCGCGGGGCCUGGGGGGGGCGGGGGGUCCCGGCUCGGGCCCCGCGGGUGCAGGUGCAGGCGCAGGCGGGCGCGCAGGUGGGCAGCGGGGCGGGGGGGUCCCGACCUGGGCCCGGCGGGUGCAGGUGCAGGUGCAGGUGCAGGUGCAGGCGGGCACGGGGGGGGGGGGUCCGGGCCACCGGGCCCUUGGGGCGGCUGCGGAGCCGGCAAGUUGUCAGCGGGCGGCGCGGCGGGCGAGCAGGGGCGGCCAGGGCGUGCGAGCGGGGUCACAGCCCUCCAGCGGGAAGAGGACUGCGCUCCCCAGGCUUUUGAGAAUGGAGACUGAGAUCGCCUGCGCUGUGGAGCUUUGCGGGGAGGAAGGGUGACUGACACAGAGAGGAACCCAGUGAUUCUCCGCUACUACAGGUAGAGCUCGUUGUUAUAAUUGUGACUGAAGGAGACAGUACACCAGGCGACUGGCUCUUGGAGAGCGAAGGAUGAGCUGGCUGGAGGCGGGGGAACAGGGAGGCUUCGCCUUCUCUCAUUGGAGCAGAAAAUGGUAGAAUGGAACCUAUUAUCCGCUGUAUUAAAAUGCAAACUUAAAAAAAAUAAUAGAAUGCAAACUUCUCUUCUUCUCAUUCUUCAGUACAUAGUGAAAAAUUGAAAUAAACUAAAACACACACACA
rnacentral:lncRNA from 12 species